rnacentral:rRNA from 1 species
AUUAUGGAGAGUUUGAUCCUGGCUCAGGACGAACGCUGGCGGCGUGCCUAAUACAUGCAAGUCGAGCGAAGCACUUCGGUGCUUAGCGGCGGACGGGUGAGUAACACGUAGGCAACCUGCCUAUAAGACUGGGAUAACUAUCGGAAACGAUAGCUAAGACCGGAUAAUUGGUUUUCUCGCAUGAGAGAAUUAUGAAACACGGAGCAAUCUGUGGCUUAUAGAUGGGCCUGCGGCGCAUUAGCUAGUUGGUGAGGUAACGGCUCACCAAGGCGACGAUGCGUAGCCGACCUGAGAGGGUGAACGGCCACACUGGG